GACGAACGCUGGCGGCGUGCUUAACACAUGCAAGUCGAACGGAAAGGCCCUGCUUUUGUGGGGUGCUCGAGUGGCGAACGGGUGAGUAACACGUGAGUAACCUGCCCUUGACUUUGGGAUAACUUCAGGAAACUGGGGCUAAUACCGGAUAGGAGCUCCUGCUGCAUGGUGGGGGUUGGAAAGUUUCGGCGGUUGGGGAUGGACUCGCGGCUUAUCAGCUUGUUGGUGGGGUAGUGGCUUACCAAGGCUUUGACGGAUAGCCGGCCUGGGAGGGUGACCGGCAACAUUGGGACUGGGAUACGGCCCAGACUCGUACGGGAGGCAGCAGUGGAGAAUAUUGCACAAUGGACGGAAGCCUGAUGCAGCAACGCCGCGUGAGGGAUGAAGACAUUCGGGUUGUAAACCGCUUUCGCCUGUGACGAAGCGUGAGUGACGGUAAUGGGUAAAGAAGCACCGGCUAACUACGUG
rnacentral:rRNA from 1 species